rnacentral:rRNA from 1 species
CCAGCUCCAAGAGUGUAUAUUGCCUUUGCUGCGGUUAAAAAGCUCGUAGUUGGAUCUGCGCCUUCGGACUCGGUCCGCCCAACGGGUGUGAACUGAGAUCCAAGGCUUAUACUGCUGGUUUUCCCUUGAUGCUCUUCACUGGGUGUCUUGGGUGGCUAGCGAGUUUACUUUGAAAAAAUUAGAGUGCUUAACACAGGCUAUCGCCUGAAUACUUGUGCAUGGAAUAAUAGAAUAAGACCACGGCUCUAUUUUAUUGGUUUUCGGAACUGUGAUAAUGGUUAAGAGGGACAGACGGGGGCAUUCGUAUCGCUGCGUGAGAGGUGAAAUUCUUGGACCGCAGCGAGACGCCCUACUGCGAAAGCAUUUGCCAAGAAUGUCUUCGUUAAUCAAGAACGAAAGUCAGAGGUUCGAAGGCGAUCAGAUACCGCCCUAGUUCUGACCGUAAACGAUGCCAACUAGCGAUCCGCCGGUGGUAAUUACGCCCCGGCGGGGAGCUUCCCGGAAACGAAAGUCUUCCGGUUCCGGGGGAAGUAUGGUUGCAAAGCUGAAACUUAAAGGAAUUGACGGAAGGGCACCACCAGGAGUGGAGCCUGCGGCUUAAUUCGACUCAAC